UACGUAGGGUGCGAGCGUUGUCCGGAAUUACUGGGCGUAAAGGGCUCGUAGGCGGCCAACUAAGUCAUACGUGAAAUCCCUCAGCUUAACUGGGGAACUGCGUGUGAUACUGGAUGGCUUGGAUUUGGGAGAGGGAUGCAGAAUUCCAGGUGUAGCGGUGAAAUGCGUAGAUAUCUGGAGGAAUACCGGUGGCGAAGGCGGCAUCCUGGACCGACAUUGACGCUGAGGAGCGAAAGCUAGGGGAGCAAACGGG
rnacentral:rRNA from 1 species